ACGCUCGACACCUACGGGAGGCAGCAGUGGGGAAUAUUGCACAAUGGGGGAAACCCUGAUGCAGCAACGCCGCGUGAAGGAAGACGGUUUUCGGAUUGUAAACUUCUGUUCUUAGUGAAGAUAGUGACGGUAGCUAAGGAGCAAGCCACGGCUAACUACGUGCCAGUAGGCCGCGGUAAUCUGAGCGGGCUGGCAAGGC
rnacentral:rRNA from 1 species